UGAUGUGUCCAUAGGCCGUUAGAGGAAUAUGUAUCCCGAGAAUUCAUGCUACAGCAUAGUUUCUCCUCACUUGGGAAAAUGCCUUCAGGAUAGAAACCUUGUUUAAUAUAUUUGUAUGUUCCGAAAUUGUCCCCCGCCUCACCAGCACAGGCUGUUCAACAUAAACGGGCUGGGUUGAAUUGAAUCGGGCAGAGUUGACAGAACACAGGACCAGGAAGCAGGUCACCCAAGCUGCUGGCCCUGCCAUGGCUCCUGGUGGACAUGAGGGAGAUAUUAGGAACAAUAUCACAGAAGGGGUGUACACUGCCUCUGAUACUG
rnacentral:lncRNA from 1 species